rnacentral:rRNA from 1 species
AGAAUCAACGCUGGCGGCGUGCCUAACACAUGCAAGUCGCACGAGAAAGGGACUUCGGUCCUGAGUACAGUGGCGCACGGGUGAGUAACACGUGAAUAAUCUACCUCCGAGUGGGGAAUAACUGAGAGAAAUCUUAGCUAAUACCGCAUAACACUUACGAGUCAAAGCAGCAAUGCGCUUGGAGAGGAGUUCGCGGCAGAUUAGUUAGUUGGCGGGGUAAUGGCCCACCAAGACGAUGAUCUGUAUCCGGCCUGAGAGGGCGCACGGACACACUGGAACUGAAACACGGUCCAGACUCCUACGGGAGGCAGCAGUGGGGAAUUUUGCGCAAUGGGGGAAACCCUGACGCAGCAACGCCGCGUGGAGGAUGAAAUCCCUUGGGAUGUAAACUCCUUUCGAUAGGGAAGAUAAUGACGGUACCUAUAGAAGAAGCCCCGGCUAACUUCGUGCCAGCAGCCGC